UUUAUUGUUAUUUUGAUGAUGAUGAUGAUGAUGAUGAUGACCCUGCUUGCCCUUCCUUCUUUGCAGGCUUCGGAGCGGCGGCUGCGGCCGAUUCCUCAGAGGCAACGGACGCUGCAUGAAAAGAUUUUGGAGGAGAUCAAGCAGGAGAGGAAGCUUCGUCCGGUUGAAGAGCGCUUCCAGAACCAGAAAGGGUUCGGAUCCGUGCCUUGCCUGGUGAAGGCCUGCUCCGGUGACGCCAAGUCCACCUCCUGCAUCAACCUCUCCGCCUCGGACUCGGGGACCCCGGUCCAGCAGCGCCAAAGACCCCGGAUCCUGCUGAAGGCCCCGACGCUGGCCGAGAUGGAGGAGAUGCUCACCUCCGAAGAGGAGGACUCUCCCGGGUCGGAGGCUUUGCAAGGUCUGGGGCUGAAGCGCGACCGCUCUUUUUCGGAGCAGGACCUGGCCCAGUUCCAGAGCGAGAGCCAGAGCAAUGCGCCGGACGCCGAGAACGACGGAUACAGCGGGUCCGAACCCAGGCCCCGCUCAGGUACCCCCUCCGAUGCAUGGACCAGAAUCCAGAACCCGGGAUCCGUCCCGGCCAGUUACCACCCGGCGGUCUCUUGCGGCUCCAGCCCCUUCCCGGCCAAGCAGGGCUUCCUCAGCUCCGUGGAUGAAAAGUCCGAGGCCGGAUCGGGACCCCCUCCUCCGGAGUCCAGCAUGAAAUACUUGUGGCUGCAAGAGUUCAGCCACCUGGAGAGCUUGGCCCUGACCGUGGAGGAGAUGGUCAAUGACCGGCGGGUGCUGGUCAAGGCCGAGAUGGAGAAGUUCCAGCAAAGCAAGGAGCUCUACAGCAGCAUGAAGAAGGGCAAGAUCUGUUGCUGCUGCAAGACCAAGUUUGCCCUCUUCUCCUGGCCGCCCACCUGCCUCUUCUGCAAAAGGUCUGUCUGUGGUUCUUGCAGCCUGAAGAUCAAGAUGCCUUCCAAGAAGCUGGCCCACAUCCCGGUCUAUGCCUUGGGCUUCGAGACCCUGCCGGGCUCAUUGGGGCCCAAGGCACCCCCUUUCCGGAAGAAGGAGACCUUCCACCCCUUGCAGGGCACCCGCUGGCGGAGCGUGGAGGAGGAGUUCCCCUACAUCUACGCCCACGGCUCGGUGCUCAAGGACGUCUGCUCCGACUGCUCCGGCUUCGUCACGGACGUGGUCAGCUCCAGCCGCAAGAGCGUGGACAUCCUCAACACCGCCACGCCCGACCGGAGGAGCCGCAAGACCCAGUCCCUCUACAUCUCCUCCAGCUAGGCCCCCGACACCAUGGCCCCCAUCGUCCCCAAGCCUUUGGGUCACAAUCUGCACCGAAAGAGGAGCUGGAGAGGAAGCGCCAACGUCUCUGCUUUCUUGCAUCCACUCCGACACCCAUCGUCCCCGUCUCUGCCUGUGCUGUGUCUCCAAUGCACCAGAGAGGGAAAGGAGUCAAAUUCUUUUUUGGGUUCGGAAAGGAAGCCUCAACCUCUCCGCUUUCUAUCUUCCUUGCAUCCACUCCGACACCCAUCAUCCCCACCCGCCUGCAUCUGUGUAUACGUCCGUGUAUAUAUAUACAUAUCGAUAGACACUCUAUAUUUAUUAUCCACGGAUCCACUUGCUCCUGUCUUUCCUCCCUUGCGCCCCAGCCCUCUGCACAUGCUCUAUGGAAAUGGAGAAGACCAAGAAUAGUGUUUUAUGUGUUCCCGAAAGACAUACAACAACCCAAUAGUGUUUUAAAUGGGCUGCAUUCCUUUCAUUGGCGUAUGGAGAUUCUGGUCAAAUUCCCCUUUCUUCUUCCUUUCCUUCCCUCCCUUGGGCCCCAGCCCUCUGCCCAUGCUCUAUAAAAAUAAACUUUACCCAUGCUUUGGCCAGGUCAGGCUUCAAAGGAAGCAAUUGCUGUUUGUGCCAAUCUACUUGCCCAGCUUGUCGCUGUUUUCGUUGCCUCUGGACUUCAACACAUGCCUUACGGACCCUGAAAUAAUAAUAAUCCACAAUUAGACGGAAGGAGAAGAUUCCUCCUUGCCUCCCUCUUCCUUAGAAGUCCUCCCAGCAGCCGAUGUUUUAUACGCUGCCUGCACUGUAUAGAAUUGUAAAUAAAAUUGAAAGCGAACCAAA